UUAGUACCGAAGUCCGGGAUGGAAGAUGGCGAGAAAAGCUGUGUGUAUUUCUGCGGUGCCCGUACCGCAAACCGACACAGGUAGGUAGGAAGAAGAUUCUAAGGCCAACGGGAGAAGGGUUGUUAAGGAACUCGGCAAAUUGACCCCGUAACUUCGGGAGAAGGGGUGCUCCAGAGAUGGAGCCGCAGAGAAUCGGCCCAAGCAACUGUUUACCAAAAACACAGGUUUGUGCUAAAUCGAAAGAUGACGUAUACGAGCUGACGCCUGCCCGGUGCUGGAAGGUUAAGAGGAGAUGUGCAAGCAUUGAAUCGAAGCCCCAGUGAACGGCGGCCGUAACUAUAACGGUCCUAAGGUAGCGAAAUUCCUUGUCAGGUAAGUUCUGACCCGCAUGAAAGGCGUAAUGAUUUGGGCACUGUCUC
rnacentral:rRNA from 1 species